rnacentral:rRNA from 1 species
UAUCUCUGUAGAGUCUGCAUAUCAAUAAGCGGAGGAAAAGAAACUAACAAGGAUUCCCCCUAGUAACGGCGAGUGAAGCGGGGAAGAGCUCAAAUUUGAAAUCUUGAAGGGUUUCCCUUUACGAAUUGUAGUUUAAAGAAGUGUUUUCUGUUGGUGUUUUGGUAAAAGUUCUUUGGAAUAGGACAUCAUAGAGGGUGAGAAUCCCGUAUUUGACCAUUAUUUCCAGCUUUGUGAUACACUUUCAAAGAGUCGGAUUGUUUGGGAAUGCAGUCCAAAAUGGGUGGUAAAUUUCAUCUAAAGCUAAAUACUGGCGAGAGACCGAUAGCGAACAAGUACCGUGAGGGAAAGAUGAAAAGAACUUUGAAAAGAGAGUUAAACAGUACGUGAAAUUGUCAAAAGGGAAGCGUUUGACACCAGUGUUGUUUUCUCGAAAAUCAAUUAAAAAAGGCUAGGAUUUUGUAUUGUAAUUGACCUUUAUCAGCUUUACUGCUACUCUUUUCUUGUCUUUUUUAAUGCACUUUUCGUUUAACAAGUCAACAUCAAUUUCUUUUGUUGUAAAAGGGUCAUUGGAAGGUGGCUUUCUUUUCGGAGAAAGUGUUUAUAGCCUUUGGCCUCUGCAAUCGGAGAGAUUGAGGUCUGCAGCGUAGAUCCUUCGGGGUUAGAUACAUUUGUGCUAAGUUAUAGCCUUUCAUAGACAACUUGUUGACUAUGAUCAGUCAUGUAGCUUACUCGCUUAUGCUAUUUUACCUACGCUUAGGAUGUUGACGAUCAGCUGAGCGCG